rnacentral:rRNA from 1 species
AACGAACGCUGGCGGCAUGCCUAACACAUGCAAGUCGAACGAGACCUUCGGGUCUAGUGGCGCACGGGUGCGUAACGCGUGGGAACCUGCCCUUAGGUUCGGAUAAAUCCCCUGAAGGGGGGCUAAAACCGGAUAAUGGAUUCGGUACAAAGAUUUAUCGGCUUUGGAUGGGCCCGCGUUGGAUUAGCUAGUUGGGAGGGUAAAAGCCUACCAAGGCGACGAUCCAUAGCUGGGCUGAGAGGAUGAUCAGCCACACUGGGACUGAGACACGGCCCAGACUCCUACGGGAGGCAGCAGUGGGGAAUAUUGGACAAUGGGCGAAAGCCUGAUCCAGCAAUGCCGCGUGAGUGAUGAAGGCCUUAGGGUUGUAAAGCUCUUUUACCCGGGAUGAUAAUGACAGUACCGGGAGAAUAAGCUCCGGCUAACUCCGUG